rnacentral:rRNA from 1 species
UACGUAGGGCGCAAGCGUUGUCCGGAAUUAUUGGGCGUAAAGAGCUCGUAGGCGGCCUGUUGCGUCCGCUGUGAAAUCCCGGGGCUUAACCCCGGGCGUGCAGUGGAUACGGGCUGGCUAGAGGCAGGCAGGGGAGAACGGAAUUCCCGGUGUAGCGGUGAAAUGCGCAGAUAUCGGGAGGAACACCGGUGGCGAAGGCGGGACUCUGGGCCGAUACUGACGCUGAGGAGCGAAAGCGUGGGGAGCAAACAGG